rnacentral:rRNA from 1 species
AGAUUGAACGCUGGCGGCAUGCCUAACACAUGCAAGUCGAACGGGAGUAGCAAUACUCUAGUGGCGGACGGGUGAGGAAUACGUAGGAAUUUGCCCUUAAGUGGGGGAUAACCCGGGGAAACCCGGAUUAAUACCGCAUGACCUCGAAAGAGCAAAGUGGGGGAUCGCAAGACCUCACGCUUUUGGAGAAGCCUACGUCGGAUUAGCUAGUUGGUGAGGUAAUGGCUCACCAAGGCGACGAUCCGUAACUGGUCUGAGAGGAUGAUCAGUCACACCGGAACUGAGACACGGUCCGGACUCCUACGGGAGGCAGCAGUGGGGAAUAUUGGACAAUGGGCGCAAGCCUGAUCCAGCAAUGCCGCGUGUGUGAAGAAGGCCUUCGGGUUGUAAAGCACUUUAAGGUUGGUAAGAGAAAACUCGCUCUAACACAGUGAGUCUUGACGGUACCGACAGAGUAAGCACCGGACUAACUCUGUGACCAGCAGCCGAC